GAUGAAGAACGCAGUGAAAUGCGAUAAGUAAUGUGAAUUGCAGAAUUCAGUGAAUCAUCGAAUCUUUGAACGCACAUUGCGCCCCCUGGUAUUCCGGGGGGCAUGCCUGUCCGAGCGUCAUUACAACCCUCAAGCUCAGCUUGGUGUUGGGCCCCGCCGCCCCGGCGGGCCCUAAAGUCAGUGGCGGUGCCGUCCGGCUCCGAGCGUAGUAAUUCUUCUCGCUCUGGAGGUCCGGUCGUGUGCUCGCCAGCAACCCCCAAUUUUUUUCAGGUUGACCUCGGAUCAGGUAGGGAUACCCGCUGAACUUAAGCAUAUAAUAAGCGGAGGA
rnacentral:misc_RNA from 1 species